rnacentral:rRNA from 1 species
UACGUAGGGGGCAAGCGUUGUCCGGAAUUACUGGGCGUAAAGCGCGUGUAGGCGGAUGAGCAAGUCUGCUGUGAAAGCUCCUGGCUUAACCGGGAGUGGUCGGUGGAAACUGCUCGUCUGGAGGACGGUAGAGGUAGGUAGAAUUCCCGGUGUAGUGGUGAAAUGCGUAGAGAUCGGGAGGAAUACCUGUGGCGAAGGCGGCCUACUGGGCCGGACCUGACGCUGAGACGCGAAGGCGUGGGGAGCGAACGGG